AUUGAACGCUGGCGGCAGGCUUAACACAUGCAAGUCGAGCGAGCGGCGGACGGGUCAGUAAUGUCUGGGAAACUGCCUGCUGGAGGGGGAUAACUACUGGAAACGGUAGCUAAUACCGCAUACAAUCAGAUGUGCCCAGAUGGGAUUUGCUAGUCGGUGGGGUAAUGGCUCACCUAGGCGACGCGCCCUAGCUGGUCUGAGAGGAUGACCAGCAAACCUGGAACGGAGACACGGUCCGUACUCCUACGGGAGGCAGCAGUGGGAAAUAUUGCAGAAUGGGCGCAAGCCUUAUGCCGCCAGGCCGCGUGUUUGAAGAAGGCCUUCGGGUUGUAAAGCACUUUCAGAGGGGAGGCGUUACUCGCAGAAGAAGCACCGGCUAACUCCGUGCCAGCCGCCGCGGUAAUUC
rnacentral:rRNA from 1 species